GUGCUCGCUUUGGCAGCACAUACAGUAAAAUUGGAACGAUACAGAGAAGGAUGACACGCAAAUUCGAGAAAACUAAAAGUAAAAA
ensembl:snRNA U6 U6 spliceosomal RNA